rnacentral:rRNA from 1 species
GAGUGGGAUUUCUCGGCACUGUAUCCUUCCGUAAGGGUGACCUGCGGAGGGAUCAUUACCGAGUUAUCCAACUCCCAACCCCUGUGAAUCAUACCUUUAAUUGUUGCUUCGGCGGGACUUCGCGCCCGCCGGGGACCCAAACCUUCUGAAUUUUUUAAUAAGUAUCUUCUGAGUGGUUAAAAAAAAUGAAUCAAAACUUUCAACAACGGAUCUCUUGGUUCUGGCAUCGAUGAAGAACGCAGCGAAAUGCGAUAAGUAAUGUGAAUUGCAGAAUUCAGUGAAUCAUCGAAUCUUUGAACGCACAUUGCGCCCGUCAGUAUUCUGGCGGGCAUGCCUGUUCGAGCGUCAUUACGCCCCUCAAGUCCCCUGUGGACUUGGUGUUGGGGAUCGGCGAGGCUGGUUUUCCAGCACAGCCGUCCCUUAAAUUAAUUGGCGGUCUCGCCGUGGCCCUCCUCUGCGCAGUAGUAAAGCACUCGCAACAGGAGCCCGGCGCGGUCCACUGCCGUAAAACCCCCCAACUUUUUAUAGUUGACCUCGAAUCAGGUAGGACUACCCGCUGAACUUAAGCAUAUCAAAAGCCGGGAGGAAAUUCACAUGACCCUCAUCCC